UACGUAGGUGUCAAGCGUUGUCCGGAUUUACUGGGCGUAAAGAGCGCGCAGGCGGUCGUUCAAGUCGAGUGUGAAAGCCCCCGGCUCAACUGGGGAGGGUCACUCGAUACUGAUCGACUCGAAGGCAGGAGAGGGAAGUGGAAUUCCCGGUGUAGUGGUGAAAUGCGUAGAUAUCGGGAGGAACACCAGUGGCGAAGGCGACUACCUGGCCUGUUCUUGACGCUGAGGCGCGAAAGCUAGGGGAGCAAACGGG
rnacentral:rRNA from 1 species